rnacentral:rRNA from 1 species
UACGUAGGGAGCAAGCGUUGUCCGGAAUCAUUGGGCGUAAAGCGCGCGUAGGCGGCCCCGUAAGUCCGCUGUGAAAGUCAAAGGCUCAACCUUUGAAAGCCGGUGGAUACUGUGGGGCUAGAGUCCGGAAGAGGCGAGUGGAAUUCCUGGUGUAGCGGUGAAAUGCGCAGAUAUCAGGAGGAACACCGAUGGCGAAGGCAGCUCGCUGGGACGGUGACUGACGCUGAGACGCGAAAGCGUGGGGAGCAAACAGG